GGGCUGAGGGAGGAGGACGCGGCGAGGCGCGCGCGGCAGAUAUCUUGUGCUUUCCUACCUCUGCACAUCUCCUUGUGGUGUUGCCCCUGCCCAGGAGAUUUGGAUCCCCUCUCUCCUCCUUCCUUUGCACUGUACACUGUGUCCUCGGCGUCGACUGCCUGGCACCAGCGUUCACCCUGCUGCUUGCCCAUCUUGUGGGCUCCGCAGAAAACCAUAAGCUCCUUGAAGGCAGUAUCUGUGGUUUAUUUUCCUUUGGAUCCAGAUGCCAGGUGUUGUUCAAGGCAAGGAGUGGUCCACAGGAUUUGCAUAAAAGACCUGGGGCAUCCUUAUGUAAGAAAUACUGCUAUGGACUAGAGUGGACUUACUGGUGUUCUGCAAUAAACUUAUUGUGAUUCUAGCAAUGGAAGAACUUAUAUCAUUGAUGUGGAAGCAGUGGCCACUGGAGGCUCUGAGGUCAGGGAGAGGGAAAACAGAUGUAAUACGGGGGCAUUUUCAGGACUUGGGAAUUGUCCUGAAUGACAAUGCCACGGCAGAUACAGGCCACUGUAUAUCUCGCCAUAACCCACAGAACUGUGUGGGAGAGUAAACUACACUGUAAUCUAUAAUCCAUGCUUAGUGGCAAUGCUCCAAAAUGUGUUCAUCAAUUGCAAUGAGUAUACCAUUACUAAUGAAGGAUAUUGUUAUGGGGGUAAAUGCAGACAGUGUGGAGAGCAGGGCAUGAGAAUCCCCUUUAUUUUUUAUGUAACAUUUAUGUAAUCUAAAUAUCUUUAAAAAUUAAAAUUAAAAAAAAAGUUAAUGAAUACAAGAAAAAAAAUUAUUCUUAUCCUAGAGGCAUCAGGACCACCUGGGGGUCUUGACAAAAAUCCCAAUUCUGAAACAGUAUUGUUGCUUGACUGUUGUGUAAUAAUUAAACUUUGAUGCUGAGAAAUUUCAACAUUAACGCAUACUCAAAUCCAUGAUCUUAUAAUGGGAUUUGAACUUCUGUUGAUCACUGUAGCGGCUUGAUGUUAUUUAUGAAUUUCAAAAAUAGAUAUUGUAUUAUGUUCAUGAGCUGGUCUUUUCCUCUGGGCAUAUUAGACUAUAUUGGAUUCAGAGGUUUCACUUUUACUUGAUUGGGCCAUAACCAUAGGAUGUUGAGAAACCACACUGCAGAGAAGGGAGGUUGGAGUUUUAAGGUAAAGCCCUGGGAAGUAAACACGUAGGAGAAGAAGGCAGAGAAGCAGAUACGUGAGGAAACAGAGAAGACUCCAUUAGACACGGCAGAGACCCCAGAAGAGAGAUAGCUGUUCACCUGAUAGUUUGAGAGAAAUAGAUUAAGAAAUAAAUCUUAAAAAAAAAAAAAAAAAAAGCCAGCAGAUUUCUGGUAUUUUGCAUCAGCACCAUACUGGCUGAUUAAUACAAUCACCUUUUAAAAAGUAACAUCAAAACAAUAAAAUUUCAAGCAAAGAAAAAAUAAAAGUCCCAAUUCUACCA
rnacentral:lncRNA from 1 species